AUGGCGGCCAUGGAAGAGGGAAGGAGCACAACUUCCGAAGCCAUGGCCGUGAGGAGAGGGAAGGAGCACAGCUCCUGGUCGAUGCUUCAAGGAAAGAGUGCGACGCCCGCGCGCAUCGCCGUCGCUGGAUCCGGCCUAACAACCAUUGCGGAGACACAACCGUCGCUAGCUGGAGCAGAGGUAGAGGAGAGGCGCGAGGUAGAGGUGAAGGGUGAGGAAGAAGACGCCGGCGACGGCCACGAACGCCACCCCGUACACCAGCCGCCCCAGAUCACCCAUCGAGCAUACGUGGAUCUCUUGAUUUAG
rnacentral:rRNA from 1 species